AGCACUCUGUAUCUGCAACCAGUUGUUCCGUCAGCUGGAUUGCUCAAAAGUCAGUGCUAGACAAACUCAACAUCUGGCAUUGUUGGUCUCCUGACAACCAGUGUCUGGAGUCCUGGUUGAUGGCUGAAACACUCUAACUUGUCUUUAAAAUGCA